rnacentral:rRNA from 1 species
GUGGGGAAUAUUGGGCAAUGGGGGAAACCCUGACCCAGCAACGCCGCGUGAAGGAAGAAGGUUUUCGGAUCGUAAACUUCUAUCCUUGGUGAAGAUAAUGACGGUAGCCGAGAAGGAAGCCCCGGCUAACUACGUGCCAGCAGCCGCGGUAAUACGUAGGGGGCAAGCGUUGUCCGGAAUGAUUGGGCGUAAAGGGCGCGUAGGCGGCCUGGUAAGUCUGGAGUGAAAGUCCUGCUUUUAAGGUGGGAAUUGCUUUGGAUACUGUCGGGCUUGAGUGCAGGAGAGGUAAGUGGAAUUCCCGGUGUAGCGGUGAAAUGCGUAGAGAUCGGGAGGAACACCAGUGGCGAAGGCGACUUACUGGACUGUAACUGACGCUGAGGCGCGAAAGUGUGGGGAGCAAACAGGAUUAGAAACCCUGGUAGUCC